AAACCGCCUAGAGGUAAACGGGUGGAUCCGCAAAAGUCGGCCCGCGGAAUUCAGCUCGGAAGGCCAGCGCCCGUCGCUCGUUUGGGAGAUCCGCUUGUGGACUCCCCGGGCGGUCGCCUUGGACGCGGGUCAGCCGUGUGCACUUUCCGCGGGCAGAGCGCCACGACCGGUUCUUGGGCGGUCAGACGGCGGCUGGGAAGGUAGGUGGGCGUCUUCGCGGGCGCUCACUGUUACAGCCCGGCCUGUCCCGAUCCGCUCGGGGACCGAGGAGCUGCUGCCGGCGCGAGGCCGCUUCGCUCCCCUCCCGGGAGGUUUCGACUGGUGGAGACUGGGUUCCGCCCGUGUCCGCCGACCGCUUUCCGGGAUGGGGCGGGGUGAGGGAGCCCGCCGGCUGAGGGUCAGUGGCGAAUCGGUCGGCCCUCCACCCGACCCGUCUUGAANNNNNNNNNNNNNNNNNNNNNNNNCGCGCGAGUCGUUGGGCAGUACGAAACCCGAAGGCGCAGUGAAAGCGAGGGCCACCUUCGCGGUGGCUGAGGUGGGAUCCGGUCCUCCGCGGCUGGCGCACCACCGGCCCGUCUCGACCGCGCUGUCGGUGAGGCGGAGCAGGAGCGUGCACGUUGGGACCCGAAAGAUGGUGAACUAUGCCUGAGUAGGACGAAGCCAGAGGAAACUCUGGUGGAGGUCCGCAGCGAUUCUGACGUGCAAAUCGAUCGUCAAACUUGGGUAUAGGGGCGAAAGACUAAUCGAACCAUCUAGUAGCUGGUUCCCUC
rnacentral:rRNA from 1 species